AAACCAACAGGGAUUACCUCAGUAACGGCGAGUGAAGCGGUAACAGCUCAAAUUUGAAAUCUCCCGCCAGGGCGAGUUGUAAUUUGUAGAAGAUGCUUUGGGUAUGGCCCCGGUCUAAGUCCGUUGGAACACGGCGUCAUAGAGGGUGAGAAUCCCGUAUGUGACUGGGCGCUUUUGCCUAUGUAAAGCUCUUUCGACGAGUCGAGUUGUUUGGGAAUGCAGCUCAAAAUGGGUGGUAUAUUUCAUCUAAAGCUAAAUAUUGGCCAGAGACCGAUAGCGCACAAGUAGAGUGAUCGAAAGAUGAAAAGCACUUUGGAAAGAGAGUUAAACAGUACGUGAAAUUGUUGAAAGGGAAGCGCUUGCGACCAGACUUGCACGCUGUUGAUCAUCUAGGCUUCUGUCUGGUGCACUCGACUGCGUUCAGGCCAGCAUCGGUUUUGGUGGUUGGAUAAAGGCCUUGGGAAUGUAGCUUCCUUCGGGGAGUGUUAUAGCCCUCGGUGCAAUGCAGCCUACCGGGACCGAGGACCGCGCUUCGGCUAGGAUGCUGGCGUAAUGGUCGUAAGCGAC
rnacentral:rRNA from 1 species